CGGUCUCCCGAGGACCGGUCUCCCGGGGAGAGACCGGUUCCCGAACGCGUGCGCCCGAGGGAAGCUCUCGGGGACCGGUCCCAAGUCGGGGAGACCGGUCCCUCCGCGCGAAAACUGCCCAGUGAGGGCUGUGCACAGGGGUGAAAGUUGAGGGGCUUUUAUGCAAAAUGGCCUUUAUUUGUGUGGGCUGAGCCCUCUCUCUCCCUCACACUCUCUCAUUUC
rnacentral:lncRNA from 1 species